rnacentral:rRNA from 1 species
CAAUAGCGUAUAUUAAAGUUGUUGCAGUUAAAAAGCUCGUAGUUGGAUUUGUGGUGUACUUUGGCGGCCCGUCACUAUGUGAUGGAGCUUGCUGAAGUCGCCAUCCUUGGGUGGAUCCUGUGUGGCAUUAAGUUGUCGUGCAGGGGAUGCCCAUCGUUUACUGUGAAAAAAUUAGAGUGUUCAAAGCAGGCUUAUGCCGUUGAAUAUAUUAGCAUGGAAUAAUAAGAUAGGACCUUGGUACUAUUUUGUUGGUUUGCGCACCAAGGUAAUGAUUAAUAGGGACAGUUGGGGGUAUUCGUAUUUCAUUGUCAGAGGUGAAAUUCUUGGAUUUUUGAAAGACGAACUACUGCGAAAGCAUUUACCAAGGAUGUUUNCAUUA